UACGUAGGAUGCGAGCGUUGUCCGGAAUUAUUGGGCGUAAAGAGCACGUAGGCGGUUUCUUAAGUUUGGGCUUAAAGACUGGGGCUCAACCCCAGGAGUGGCUCGAAAACUGAGAGACUAGAGGAUGGCAGAGGAAAGUGGAAUUCCCAGUGUAGCGGUGAAAUGCGUAGAUAUUGGGAGGAACACCAGUGGCGAAAGCGACUUUCUGGGCCAUUCCUGACGCUGAGGAGCGAAAGUGUGGGGAGCGAACAGG
rnacentral:rRNA from 1 species